UUAAAUUCGUCCCUGUUUGGAUCCUAAGGAAUGAAUGGGGCUAGGCUAAAUGCUAACACAUUCACGAUGCACUGUAAAAAGAUUAAAAGCAUGCAUUGAAAAAAUAUAGGCAUGUAUUUAUUAGUCUAAGUUUAAGUAAGAACAUAGUAAAAUAUUGAAAAACUGUGGUGUUUUCCUUUAAAAACACAUAAAGUAGCUAUGGUAGCCAGCCCCCACAGGACUGUCAUCGUCUGAGACAACGUAGUGACAAAACGUCGAUUCGUCUAUUAGGGCUAUGGUGGCGCUAAGGGGACCCUCGGUGCAUGUAGAAAAAAGCCGUUUCUCAAUCGGAAGGCUCCAGCCUCCGGAAGUCGCAUAUGCAGGCUGCAUACGUCAUCAAGCCUGGUUAAUUUAAGUUAACUGAGCAUUAUAUUCGCCAAUCAUAAGCAUAUUACAACAAUUUACGAUUAACUAAGAAUAACAGUCAACUUCAUAAUGGUUAAUAUUCUGAAAUAAGACCGUCUUGAUGACGUAUGCAGCCUAGAAAUGCGACCUCCGGAGGCUGCAGCCUUUGGAUUGAGAAACGGACAAAAACGGCACAGUCUAGGUUGGAUAAUAAUAAUACAGUUCAUUAUGUAAGCGGGCACAUAACUGGUACGCAGGUACGCAUGCGCACCAGACACUGUUCUAAAAAGGCGCUUUUGCGUACGUUAUUUUGUUACAUUUACCUAAUUUACUGCAACAUAAGGAAUUUCUUCGUGCAUCAUUGGUAUCUGUGAGGUGUCAAACCUUUCCAGUGCCCGGAACUUCCAAGCCAUCGACAGGACGCGGGAUCUCAAUGCUCUUGACCUGGCCGUAUUUGGAGCACUCUUCCUUGACGUCUUCCACGAUCUCCUCAUACUCUUCAUCAUCAAGCAGUUCCUCUGGAGCUACCAUGUUCAUAAGACACAAGACCUCUGUUGGAAUGCCUCCCAUCUGGUUGACUGAACUGUUCAUGAGACCUGGCACUUGCAGGGUCACAGGAGUCUGGUUUAUUCCCGUCUUCAGAGGAAAAGAGAAAUAAAGCGUGUCAAUAUUCAGGUUGCAACAAAUGUUUUUAAGUUGCAGUACACACUCUCCUCCUUCUUACCAGUGUGGUGUUCUUGGACCCCACACUUGCUCUUUGGACCAGGAGUUUCUUGUCACCCAGCUGCAUUCCAUUUAGACCCGCAAUAGCCUGUGAUAGUCAACAGCUUGAAUCAAAAAGGUGCAAUCAAAAUAUCUUAAAAACGCUGAACUGGGAUGUUUGUUUAUGUGAUUUGCAGAAUGACUGUAGACAGAUUACGGUUUCAAAGCGAUAAUUCGCCGAAAAAAAUAAAAUUACCCCAUGAUUUACUCACCCUCAAGCCAUCCGAGAUACACGUGUCUAUCAUCUUUCAAAUGGACACAUUUUCAGGUAUUUUAGAAAAGUCUUAGCUGAUCCAAGCUUUAUAAUGUUUGAAAAUGGGGUCUACUUGC